AGCUUUGCACAGUGGCAGUAUUGUAGCCAAUGAAGUUUAUCCGAGGCACAAUUAUUGUUAAUUAAAAAGAUUUUCUUUUGCUGGGGUUGGGGCGGGGGGGGGGCAGUAAAAUGUAAAAUCUUGAGUCUGAAUGUAGU
ensembl:snRNA U4 U4 spliceosomal RNA